AGUCGUAACAAGGUUUCCGUAGGUGAACCUGCGGAAGGAUCAUUAACACAUUGUCCAUUUGAUGGUUGUAUGGAAGCUUUUUCAAAGAGUGAUUCAUUACUCGAUAGAACUUCUUACAAUCAUUCAAACAUCAUAGUAAACUUGUUGAAGUCCUCAACAACAAUAUUAAAAACAUUGUUCUUAAAGAGUGAAUUUCAAAGAGUGAUUAUCAAGAUCAAUCAUAAACUUAGUUUAUGAUUAGACUGAUGUUUAUAACAAAAUAUAUAUAAAAAAAACCAAGACAACUUGUAACAGUGGAUACCUUGGUUCCCAG
rnacentral:misc_RNA from 1 species